AAGGUCACGCAUCCCGAGAGAAAGCAGAGGAGUACGGCGAGUUCAGGGUAUCCUCUGUAAAUCGAAAGAAGUAACUAGCAAAACACGAAUUGAUUCUGCUCGGAGCGCGCGUGAAUGAAGCUCUCGCCUGGCGAACCGGAAACCCCCGAGAUUAAUCGUGUCGACGUCCAAGAAUUCGGCGCCGAUUGUUCUUCGCAGAAGAUCCGGCGUUUCGUGAAAGAAAUAAGGAACACGGCAAAUAUUUAUACACGUCGAAGAUAACGUAAUACAACAAGUACAUCAGAUCGUCGGAUCGCCGUCACAGUCCGAUUUGAAUGCGAGCAGAUAACCAGUUCGCGUUAUAGAACAAUCUUGUUGAACGAACUAUACCUAAAGGAAUUUAUUCCUUCGCAGAGAUCAGUCCGUUUUCACAUCCACGAUGCACCUACAUUCUAAGGAUCAAAAUUUCCGUCUUCUUUCGUGGAUUCAACGGGAGAAAUAAAGCCGACUUGUGCUAGUUCUAUCCAAGGUAUCAAUUGCCUUGCAUCAUCGUCGCGAGUAAAGUCACGGUGCCGAGAUCGGUACCGUUGAAAAUGCGGAAUCGUCCUUGCACAUCGCGAAUCUCUCGCCAGUUUCAUCGUCCGCAUUGGUUAUUACCGCGAACCUGUUCGCAACUGACCGUCUGCCGAAGAUGCUGUCCAACUGGCGAGAAUUGCACGUAUGCAAAAAGUUGGGAGCAACAAGAAGAGGAGGAAGAAUAAGAGGAAAUAAGACUCCGAGGUCGUCCAGACGUACAGACCCUCGGAAAAGUUCGAGGAUCCGUGAAUCGCGAAACUACGUUCACCACUCUGCCACCCAGUUUAGAUCGGCUUGCAUAGACCUGUAACUUCCACGCGUCCUCGGACAUGUGAAUCCUGAGCGGUGAUCCGGAGGAUUCCAUCCUUGAGGCGGUGUUCACGGUGUCACCGAAGAGACAGUACCUCGGCAUUUUUAGACCGACUACACCGGCCACGCAGUGACCUGAAUUUGGAACGGUUGGAAGGAAGAUCGAUCGAUUGGAAGAUGGUCAAGAUUGUACACCGAGAGAAAAAUACGAUGCAUGCGUAUCGUAGUGGAAC
rnacentral:lncRNA from 1 species